GUCUAUGGUCAUACCACCCUGAACACGCCUGAUCUUGGAAGCUAAGCAGAGUCUGGCCUUGUUAGUACUUGGAUGGGAGAAGAAGGAAUUUCUUACAUUAUUGAUC
rnacentral:rRNA from 1 species